rnacentral:rRNA from 1 species
UGUGGUGGCGAUAGCGAGAAGGAUACACCUGUUCCCAUGUCGAACACAGAAGUUAAGCUUCUUAGCGCCGAUUG